AUGAACGCUCGCGAUAGGCUUAACACAUGCAAGUCGAGGGGUAACGUGUUGGAAGCUUGCUUCCGAUGACGACGACCGGCGGAUGGGUGCGUAACGCGUAUGCAACUUGCCUCACAGUGGAGAAUAACCCGGAGAAAUCCGGACUAAUACUCCAUACACUCUUAAGUACGCCUGUACAUGAGAGGAAAGAUUUAUCGCUGUGAGAUAGGCAUGCGUCCUAUUAGGUAGUUGGUGAGGUAACGGCUCACCAAGCCGACGAUAGGUAGGGGUGCUGAGAGGCAGAUCCCCCACAUUGGGACUGAGACACGGCCCAAACUCCUACGGGAGGCAGCAGUGAGGAAUAUUGGUCAAUGGAGGAAACUCUGAACCAGCCAAGUCGCGUGAAGGAAGAAUGUCCUAAGGAUUGUAAACUUCUUUAGCGAGCGAGUAAGGACUUCCACGUGAUGGGAGUUUGAAAGUAGCUCGAGAAUAAGUAUCGGCUAACUCCGUG
rnacentral:rRNA from 1 species